rnacentral:snRNA from 1 species
AUACUUACCUGGCAAGGGAGAUACCAUGAUAACGAAGGUGGUUUUCCCAGGGCAAGGCUUAUCCAUUGCACUCCAGAUGUGCUGACCCCUGCAAUUUCCCCAAAUGUGGGAAACUCGACUGCAUAAUUUGUGGUAGUGAGUGACUGCGUUCAUGCUCUCCCCUA